UUCACUUUACUAUAUUCUUUGGGGGAAUCUCCCCAAAGGGCUCACAGAAGACUCUUCAACUCUUCUCUUUCACGUCUGCAAGGCUGAAGCAGAAACAUGAUGGGAUUGGGAGGCAGGACAUCUGAAAUCUUGUGGGACCCUGAGCAAUUUACUUCCAUUUCCUCUGCCUCAGUGAGAAGGAAAACUACUUGUCAAAGCGAACCGAAGUAACAGUGAUUGUGUGGUGGUUCAACUAUGAUGUGCAUAAGAAACACCUUGGAAAACUGUCAAGAUCCAUCAUCCUGAGCCUUAUAUCCAGAAACUUGGAUUCACCAGGAUUUUUCUGGGAUGGAAGGAUUGCAAUUUUAGUAAGGUCUCUAGGUUCCACUAACGUGGUGAUCUAUGGGCUGCACUUUCUUAAUUUAGACCUGGGCGUUAGAUAUACUUGACCCCUUAUGCCAACGCUGAUCAGUGGGUCGUGGUGCUCUCCAGGGAAGCUCUAAGAAGGGCUGCACCCAGGUUUCAGUGGAAAAGAAUUCUAAGCAAGGGAAACCGACGGGGGGUCAGGAUGAAUAUUUGCUGUGUAUUGUCAGCCUUUGUUGAAACCAAGAGACAAGAAGAGAACACUUAUUCCAAGUCUUCUACGAAUCGGAACCUGUACUAGAUAUUCACCUACAAAGUCAUUUGUUAUCUCAUCCCAGUCCAGUGAAUCAGGCAAGAACAGAGAAGGUAGUUUGGCUGAGAUCUCACAGGCAGGCAGUGGUGUUGGGAUUUAACUGCUCCUAGUGAUUUGUCCAUGCCUUUUCUACUUCAUAGAAAAAUUGGGAAGCUUUGCAGUGACAAACUGAUAACAAAUUAUUUUUGGACUAAGAACUCUGAUAUGCAAAAUCAGGUUGACUAGGUACAAUACUAGGCAUUUUAUAGCUUUCUUAAUGAAUUUGUCAAGGACUUGCCCUGUUAUUAUUCUGGUUGACUGAUGAACUACCUGCCUGGGGCUGGAUGUCUGAAUUGAUAGAUGGUUUUGCCUGCAGCCUGUGCACUGUUAGGGCUCAAAGCACUUUUAUGUUAUUCUAAAAGUCAGUUUCAAUGUAAAAAAAAAAUUAACAUCUUUUCAAAUAUCCUGUGUCAACCUGUGUAAUAUAACUUUGAAAAAUUAGACAUUGAAUUUGGCUAUUUUGUGUUUUAAUUCCUAUAACAAAAGUAUUUCAAAAUAUUUUUUAGAAAGUAAAGGUGACCUUUAUGAGUAUCUAUGUGAACCCUAUGAGCAUGCUUAACAUCAUUUACUUGUGUUGUCUAUUUGUUAGGCAAAGAAAAUGAACAAAGUAUAUUGAAAAA